UGAGUUCUUAGCUUCAUCUUAUUAAGUUUUGGAGCAAAUAACAAACAAGUUAAAUAAGCUUGACAAAGUUUUUUCACUACUUUUACGAUGUCAAUCAAUUGGUAACAUGUUAAACUCCAUGCACGAUGAUGCCAUUUAAAGGAAGUUGGUUCCAGUUCAGUUCUAUUAAGGCUGCAGAAUCGUAUUUAUUGAUUUUUAGUCCCCAAAUAUGAAUCAUUAUAUCUGUUCCACUCUACUCAGACCCCCAACAAAUUCAUUACUAUGUGGAUUCAUCAUAAAUUGAUUAUAUUCCUGCAGCCUUAAUCAACUACAAGGUAAGUGCUAAACAUAAUGGUUGACCUUCUCCUAACCUUGCUUACCCUGGCUACACUUUUCAUAAUAUUAGUUAAGGAAUAUUACUCUCUCAAAUUUUUUCUGGUUGUAUUGGGUCGGGGAGGGUGGGACUGUGGUUGAAGGGGCGUUUCACUUGGCAGAGGUGCCAGUUGAUACCUCAAGUGAUGAUUCCAGAUAUCUGUUUGGUAGUCAUCCUUGUUUUUUCUUUAUUUUCAAUGUGAUCUUAUCAUCCUGCCCAAUUUGAUGAUUCUCUCAUCUACCAAAUUACUCUAGGACAUCUGCACUUUGGAUAUUUCUCCAAGCUAAUGUUAUACAUUUGCACUUUAGCAAAACUAUGUAUUUCAAAACGAGAAUCUGCUCAAGUACGAAUGCUUAAGAUUGCUCAGUUUUAAUGAAUUACACCCAGAUUUCUAUACUUCAUGAAUGAUUUUUGGCAUUUCUCUAUGUUCUCUGUUAUGAUGGAAGAGAGACAACAAAAAGUUGAAGGUGUUCAGGAUUCCAUUAUUGCCCUUUGAGGUGUUGAGUUCCGGUUAGACCUUUUUGAGUUUCUAUCUUUUGAAAGGUGUUUACAGCAGGCCAAAUCGGGCAUGUGGAAACAUGAUGAGGGGUUUUAGAUAGUGGUGUUGCCUUUUUUUACUUUGAGAAUGCCUUGAUCCACUAUUAUAAUGAUGCUGUAACUGUUAAUGAUGUGCUUGAUCCUCUCUUUUGUACUUCUAUAGUACCUUCUUUGUACUUCAUAUUAUAAAAUACCUUAUUUUACGACAGAAAAAAGGAGUUGAGGUAAGGAGUUUGCAAUCUUAUUACUUUGCUCCGCAACCACGCCAGACGUUUUCUCUUUUUCCUUUUGUCGAGGCAUGGAUUGCUCAAGCUUGUAAACAAGCCAUUAAAACUCGUUAAUUUCACUGCCUGGGAGUUGGGGACAUGACAAUUGGCACUGAGAUCUUCUAGGAGGAAUGAUUGCAGCAAGUAACAGCAGAGUAUUUGAUCUAAGAAAAUGAAGUGUUUGUUAUGUUGUAUGUAGGGUAUGUUUCAUACUUGAUGUUUAUAGAUGCUCUACUGCAAUAUGGAUGCUCAUACCGCAUUUAUAUACAAUGUUCACAAGACCGGCGAAGCUAUCAUUUAGUAGUUGAGAAUCAUAAUGGGAAUUGGGAGAAAUAUUUGAGAA